GCCCGAUUCUUUAUAUUCUUGUUUUCCUUUAUGAGAGAGUGUGUCUCAACUUGGCAUUCUAAAUUCUAACCUUUCUCUCAAUGACCACCUCCGCACCUUUUUGGCUCAGACCUUAACUUGUAAUACUUUCUUGAAAGAAAGUAUUUUUUUCUGGUCAUUCCUCUUAUUUCAUGCAGACUGUCUAAUUUCUGUAAGGUAUUUAUAGCAGUUUUUCCUUAAGUUUUCUUUGGCCUCUCAGUAUUAUCUCAACGGUUUUUGUUUUCUAAAAAUGAUAUCUUGUCUUGGCCUUUGUCUUUAAUAUCAACAGCCCCUCCUCAGACCUGCAUGAUGCUGGUCUGUUCUCGGCGAUGCAGGAAUGAGGCCCAAAAAGGCCAACUGGGGGCUCCUUGUGGUUUUGCUGGUGGGCUUCACCACGGGGUCGCAGGCUGGCGACCCUGCUCCUUGGCUGGUCAACUGUCGACUUUUCCCUGUGAGGCUGAUCUGCUUCUUCUUUCUGCUGGUAAAUGAGGAGAACGGCAGGUGAUGAGAAUCAGAGACGUGGAGGGAAGGCUGGUGGGCAGGUGGUCUUUUGGAGACGUUCGUGAGGGAAGGUCUGCCGCCCUGGGUUUCCAGGAACCUGGAUGAGAGGUGAGCAGAGGUGGGGGGGGGGGGGUUUGUAUCUGAAGGUUGGAACAACGACCAAAAAAAAGCAAUUCAGCAGGUGCUUGAAAAGGCAGCCAAUGUCCCCCAGGGAAGUGAAUUCUCUCUGUGGAUCUUUUUCCUCCUGCCUGCUCUUUAUUGUGCCCCAUACGGGCGUCUUUUGCCCAUGUUUCUUCCUUUCUGGACCUUUCUCUUCCCUAAAGAGGCCCCCUCCAGCCCCAGCUCUCCUCCAGCUUCCCUCUCACCCCCUGCCCUCCUGCAGGCUUGGGCUGACGUCCGCUGGCUUCUCUUCAAGGCCUCAUUUCCUGGAACUGUCUGGGUCAAGGUCUGGUUGCAGGAGAGGGGCUCCACAAGCCCCCACGACAGGGAUGGCUGUCCUGGUCCUCUGCUGCUCCCUGGGGGGGCCCCCGUGACCAGGCAGGGCCAUCUGUCUGCACACAGGCACCCACCUCCUACCUGCCCCAGUGCUUCCUCAUGCUUCUAGUUAGUCCUCAUGGCCCGUGGGGGUUCAGUCGGGCAAACAGAGAGAAAGAAAUGGUUGGCCUGUUAUGUACGCCAAAGCCACGCAAACCCCAAGUCCAAGGUUUAGGUAGAUGUUCAUCAGGUUUCUAUUAUUUUUUACUAAAUUUAAUUUUUUUGAAUACCAGCUUUCUUUUGACACAGUAAACCAGCAGCAUCUAAUCACCAAACAGAGCAAACAAAAGAAGGCUUUUGUUUGCUUUACAUAAAGAGACGGGGCAGGAAACCCAAGUGACCUAAUGUGAGUUUUCAGAAUUAGCAUCCGCUGUUUUCAUUUGCCUAAUGUAAUCCCACUUCUGCGUAUUCAGUGGGGAUUUCAUUUGUCUGAUGUGGUUUCAUAAGAAGCAAGAGGAGGGGUCCAAGGAGCAAAAGGAAAACCUAGCUUGUUCUUAAUAUCCCACUUUGAUGUGUUUGCAAUGAAUGUAAUUAGGUUUUCUUUUUAAAUGCCUUUUUCUCUUUUUCUCAAAAAGCUAAAGUCAACUUGAGAACGUGGACGUUGUCUGGCCUGGAUCGGUUCAGAGUGGCUUCUUUCUGGAUGUCACAGUGGGCUAGGAUGUAUCUACCUUCUGCUUCCCUGGGGCACCCCUGUGAUGUCCUGGAUCUUUGCCUUGCUGUCAUCAAUGGGGUCACCCCGUGCAACGUCCAGAAGGACGUCUCAUUAAGUAUAAGUGAAUCCCAGGAAUGAGCUCUCGGCUUGGUUUUACAUCCUGCACAACCUCCUGCCCAACCCCCAACAGACGGAUUCUAAAGGGAAAUCCAGUCGCAUCCACAAAAACAGCCCGUGUACACUGGGGAACCCAGAAGCAUCCCUGACGUUGGCCGUGACUCCGCCCCUCUCCCUCUAAUUGCGGAGGACGGCGGGGAGGGACCUGGGGGAAACGGAUGUGUAAUAAUGGGCGUGCGGGCUUCCUCACUGUUAUCUGGUACAGUAUUAACGUCGCCUCAUGUGUCUUGAGUCUUUGCCCGACUGGGUUUUCUCAGCAGGGGGGAUGGGAAGGCGGACAGGAUCUUGAAGUGCCUGGCUGGACCUGGGCGCUGGAAGCAGCCAUAAAUGGGGACAUUUGCUUGGCUCACUGGCUAAUGAGUGAAAGAUCGCCAAUAGUAAUAAGGUUUCAGCGGAAUUUCCUUAAUGAUUGGCACAGUUCAUUAAGAGAAGAAACACAAGACGGCGUCCCCUUGGGAGGGGCUGGGGGAUGGGUUGGUUGUCGGAUCUCGGAGGUGGGGGCCCUGACUCCCAGGAAUGUGGCUUUCGCACAAUUCGGUGUUUUGAAGGAAGACAGAGCCCGGCUGCAGUUGAGUAAUUUCGGCUAAUUGAGAUUUGCAUGGGUCAAAGA
rnacentral:lncRNA from 1 species